rnacentral:rRNA from 1 species
CCUACGGGUGGCAGCAGUCGAGAAUCAUUCACAAUGGGGGAAACCCUGAUGGUGCGACGCCGCGUGGGGGAAUGAAGGUCUUCGGAUUGUAAACCCCUGUCAUGUGGGAGCAAAUUAAAAAGAUAGUACCACAAGAGGAAGAGACGGCUAACUCUGUGCCAGCAGCCGCGGUAAUAAAGAGGGCUCAAGCGUUGUUCGGAAUCACUGGGCGUAAGGCGUGCGUAGGCUGUUUCGUAGGUCGUGUGUGAAAGGCGCGGGCUCAACCCGCGGACGGCACAUGAUACUGCGAGACUAGAGUAAUGGAGGGGGAACCGGAAUUCUCGGUGUAGCAGUGAAAUGCGUAGAUAUCGAGAGGAACACUCGUGGCGAAGGCGGGUUCCUGGACAUUAACUGACGCUGAGGCACGAAGGCCAGGGGAGCGAAAGGGAUUAGAUACCCCAGUAGUC